rnacentral:rRNA from 1 species
UACAGAGGUCUCAAGCGUUGUUCGGAGUCACUGGGCGUAAAGGGUGCGUAGGCUGCGAGGAAAGUCAGAUGUGAAAUCCGGAGGCUCAACCUUCGAAUAGCAUCCGAUACUACCUUGCUAGAGAGCUGUAGGGGGGUUUGGAAUUCUCGGUGUAGCAGUGAAAUGCGUAGAUAUCGAGAAGAACGCUCGUGGCGAAGGCGAAACCCUGGGCAGUAUCUGACGCUGAGGCACGAAGGCUAGGGGAGCAAACGGG